GCGUCCGUAGCUCAGCUGGAUAGAGCAACAGGUUGCGGUCCUGUAGGUCGGGGAUUCGAAUUCCUCCGGGCGUACCA
rnacentral:tRNA from 17 species